rnacentral:rRNA from 1 species
CACGUAGGGUGCGAGCGUUGUCCGGAAUUAUUGGGCGUAAAGAGCUCGUAGGCGGUCUGUCGCGUCGGAUGUGAAAAUCAGGGCUCAACCCUGGACCUGCAUUCGAUACGGGCAGACUAGAGUUCGGCAGGGGAGACUGGAAUUCCUGGUGUAGCGGUGAAAUGCGCAGAUAUCAGGAGGAACACCGGUGGCGAAGGCGGGUCUCUGGGCCGAUACUGAC